UCAGGUGAUCCAGUCGCCUUGGCCUCCCAAAGUGUUGGGAUUUCAGGCGUGAGCCACAGCACCCGGCCUGUUUUCUUGUUUUGUUUUGUUUCGCCAGAGACCCAUAAGAGAGAUAUUUAAAGAUGCUGUAAGAUAUUUCAGAGUAGAGUUGGAAUCUGUGAUCAGAGUAACUAGAGCACACGAUGAUCCUCUUCACAAAGCUCUCCGAAGAUGGAGAUGGCAAUAUUUCUUUUGACAUCUCUUUCCAGUUUUAUCAUGAGAACUCCCUAUCUUCUUCUUUUCCACAGAUGUUUUCCCAGCAGUGAGAGUAAUGCUAAAACAGCAAUGCAACUUACAGCUGUAAAUGCACUGGUCUUUGCAUAUUGCAUUUGCUGCCCCAAUAGUUCUGUCACCUUUAAUUAAGAGAACAUAGAAACAAAUGAGGACAUUUCCAUUUUUUAUAUGAUAUUAGACUGGUGUCCUAUUUCACUGUUCUGCCUUUACACAGAUUGACUAAGCUAAUUUGAGGGAAGGUUGGUUUACCAUUUGUAAUUCUUAUGCAGGCAUUAAUCAGUAUAAUUAAAAUAUGAUAGCAUCCGGAUGUUAAAAGCACAGGUGGAAUGCAUUAAUGUAGAAAACAAAAGGGAGGAACUGCCACACUGUUUCUGUCUCACACACAGACACACAGACACACACAGAAGUACACACACACAGAUGUGUCUCAGAUCAAAAUUGAAACUAUCCUUAAGCAGGCAGAAGAAAAAUCUACUUACCAAUUCCUCUGCAGGAACUGUCUAAAUCCUAUAAUCUUGUCUUCCACUUGAUGGCGCUAUAAUGGCAUAGAGAUAAAGGAAGAAUCAUUAUUCUUUGUUUGAUUUAUGAAAUUCUGUCCAAAAACCCAAGCCCCAUGUUGGCACGUGCUGAGAAAAAAAGUGCACUCAGAGGUUUCCUUCGUUCUUUUCUUCACAACUGGUAGGUACUGAGAGUGUGGAUGAAGCCUUUUAUAGACUGGCAUUUAAACUAAGCCAAUUUGCUAAAAAGAGGAAUAAAAACAGAUUUUGUGGUGUCUUUUUAAAAAGAGCCCCUCUUCAUUUAGAGACAGCAUCAUGCCACACUUCCUGUGUUACAUAGAUGGCCCUCAUUAUGUGCACAAGAGGUUUUCUGGUAUUAUAAUGUGGAUGGCUAAAAUAUUUAUAUUUUAUGUAUGUAUUACAGUUCAUAUUUUUUAAUAAAAUCUUGGAUAGUUAACAUCUAAACUGAAGAUUUCUGGAGUCUUCAGUCAUUAUUUGCAUUCUGCUCAUCCUGACAUCUCUUCCUCCCACUCUCCAUGUUUGGCAGUUUUAGAGCGCAAGUGAAAAGGCCUAUUCCAGUUGAUGCCAGAGGAGGGUGGGGGCGUGGCUGUUACACCACACUGGCAAGCAAGGCAAACAAGAAACAGGCUUGGCUACCACACAGACUUCAAGAAUGAAAAUAGAUUCAGGAUAUAAUAGUAGUUGGACAACAGUUUGGCUGAUCCCAUCGCAACUCUAGAAAUGCAUCAUUCGAUGCUUUAGAACUCCCUUUUACAGGGCACCGACAUGACUUGUGCUUCAUCCUACAAAGCUACCAAGCAGAAGCUCUCUACUCCUGGCUUUCUGCUGCUUCAGGACUUUCUCUCAGUGCUUGUGUUUCCCUUUAUAUGUUUCUUAAGAUUUACUUCUAUCAACAAAACCCUCUGUAUUAGUCAGCCAGGUCUGCCAUAACAAAGUGUCACCGACUGAGUGGCUUAAAAAACAAAAGUCGGGGGGCUGGGCGCAGUGGCUCAAGCCUGUAAUCCCUGCACUUUGAGAGGCCGAGGUGGGUGGACCACAAGGUCAGGGGAUCGAGACCAUCCUGGCUAACAGGGUGAAACCCUGUCUCUACUAAAAGUAGAAAAAGUUAGCUGGGCGUGGUGGGUGGGUGCCUGUAGUCCAAGCUACUCAGGAGGCUGAGGCGGGAGAAUGGCGUGAACUUGGGAGGCGGAGCUUGCAGUGAGCUGAGAUUGUGCCACUGUACUCCAGCCUGGGCGAGAGAGCGAGACUCAAAAAAAAAAAAAAAAAGUGUAUUUUAUCAGAGUUCUAGAGGCUGGAAUCCGUAGUCGAGGUGCCAGCACUGUCAGUUUCUGGUGAGGCCUCUUUUCCUGGCUUACAGAUGUCCACCUUCUCACUGUGUCCUCACAUGGUCUUUUCUCUGUGUGUCUUCACAGAAAGCUCCAGUGUCUCUUCCUCUUCUUGGAAAGGCACAUUCUGUGGGAUUAGGGUGUCAUCAUCAUAACCUUAUUUAACUUUAAUUACAACUUUAAAGUCCCAGUCUCCAAAUACAGUGACAUUGGGAGUUAGGGCUUCAAUAAGUGAAUUUUGGGGAGGAUACGGUUUAUUCCAAUUCGUAUCUAUAACCCUCUUGUGUAUAUCCCUUUCAGCUGCCCCUGGAGAGAGGAUCUCAUUGUGUACACAGUGCCCCCACUAUGGAUCUUUCUGUCCUCAUUAUUACCAUCACCCUUGUCCAGGUCCUUAUCGUAUCUUCUGGAAACUGUCUCUUUCGUUAGCUCCCUAAUUUGUUCCCUGCCUAGGAUCUUAACCCCAUUUCAUCCUUGACUAGCUUGCCUCAAUGGCAAACUGUUUUGCCACACUUAGCCAUAAAGCUUUUUGAUGAUUCCUCAUUACCUACAGGUUAAAUUUUAAGCUUCAGAUUAUGUCCAUAUGGUCUUACAUAAUGUCUUCAUCAUAAUAUCUGUCAAGUCUUAACUCUACCGCUCCCUUCCCAAGCUUUAAUUAAUAAUAAUGAAUAUUCAUGCUUUUUCGUACUCACCAUGUUUUCUCAUGCUUUCUUUUCCUCUACCUGCAAUAUCCUCCACAUUCUUCUUUCUAGGGUCACUCCUAUGCAUCCAUUGCUUCUACUGCCAUCUCCUUCAAGACAACUUGUCUCUGGAAACCAAAUCACCCUUCUCUCUGCUCCCACAGGACCCUGUGCACAUUUAUAGCCUAGUACUCAGGAUGGUGUAGUAAAAGCAUUUUUUUCUCCAUCUGACCCUUUGAUUAAAGUGUAACAAACAAAGUUCCUAAAGGACUCAAUUCAUUUCUGAUGUAUUUUGUAACCCUAGUGCCUAGCACAAUUCCUGAUAUUACUCAAAGUAAUUUAUUUAUUGAAGAAACUUUCAAUCAGUCUCUCUCACAUGUACAUACCCCCCAUACACAGUCACACAUAUACUCAGAUAUACUUUUAACUAACAAAACCACAAUGUUACCUGGAUGCCAUUUUCCAGAAGUUUGCAAGAUUUUAGACUUCAGCAGAAGAUUGCUGGACCUGACUCUAUGAAGCUUUGAAUAUUUGUUACUUGUAGCUUUGAGAAAAGUGGAAGGUAUUCUUUAAAUAUGAGGUCAGGCAAAAGAUAGGUGCAGGAUUAGAAAUAAGGAGAAGACCCGGUUUACUAUCAGCUUUCUUACCAAAUAAUAGUUACAUUACUCCUAUAAUUCCUGUCAAAGCCAAGUUAAGGGAUAUGGAUAUGCCUUUGGGGGACCAGUGGUUCAGAAUGAGUUACUCCCAAUCUUGAAAAAGUAGCACCAUGUUUGCCUGUGAAGAACAAUAAACUAGUAUGCGUAUUACCAAGUGUUUUAUGUAACUAGAGUACUAGAGGGAAAAAUGUUCUCAGUAGCAAUUCAGUGUGAAUAGUGGAUACAAUGUGGAAAAGAUAGAGAAUGCCUUUCCAAUGGAAUUUGUACUGUUCUUUUUCCCAUAGAUUUAUGGCUGCGCCUGUGAUUUAUCUGGGGAAUGAGAGUGUCCAGGACAAAAUAAAAAGAGCAGCCUGAUCUAUGAUUUUGUUUUAUUCUCUGAGGACAUGGACAUAGCCAGGAUACAGCUGAAUAGUUUAAAAAGUCACAGACCGAGAGCUUAAGAAAAGCCAAAUAUGUGCCAGAAUUAACAGAAGGAUCCCCAGGUAACCGAGAAUAUCAGCUACACCCACAAUUUAACAGAAUCCCCAGGCUGGCUGAGCACCAGAAGAAUUUCAAGGGAUGUUUGUAUCCUGAAUGGCCUUGGAACACAUAUAUAAAGUUUCCCUCCAUGCAUAUAUUCUUCAGUAUAAUAAACAUCGUGUUCCUCUCUGAAGCAAAGGGUAGUCAGAUUUACUGCCCAUUAUAAAAUAUUUGGGUUCUCGGAGCUCAGAGUUCUCUUAUAACACAACCCAGUACUGCCCUUGUAUUCUGCACAUCUGAACUGGAGGAGCAAUGCAGUCCUGAUAAUUGACCCUCCCUGGUGGCCAGACUUUGUGGAGUUUAUCUACAGGUGGGAGUUUAUCCAAAAAAGAUUGUCCUUAAAAUUUGCAUAGCUGAGGCAGGACAGCAGUGCACCAUACUGACUGGCAUCAUUUUGUGAUUAUUUUAUGUGGGAUUAAUCCCAGCAUACACCAAUAUUAACACUAAAAGUAUUGUGGAAUUUUACUGAAUCCUGAGGCCCUGUUUGUUGUCUAAAGAAAGGUAUGCAACCCUGUUUUGCCCAACAGCCUCUAACCUCCCCACCUACCUACUCUGCCCUUGCCUCUCUCAAAGCUCCUGCCAAUCACUGAGGAGCUUGUUAGAAGUAGAUUCUUAGUACUUUCUGCUGAGAUUCAGUAUUUCAAAAUUUAGUGAGAAAUAUGCAUUUUUUUUUGCAAGCAAUUCAGGUGCUUUUGAUACAGAUGGUUAUCAGAUCAUGUUCUCAGUUUUUUCACUCCCACCCCAUCCCAUCCAUGUAAGUGACACCUCAGACCAUAAAUCAUGGGGAGAAUGCUUAGCCAAGCAUGUCAAAAUCCAUUCCUGUUCCUCCUGAUGGAUAGAAAACCUCCUUUCCCUGUUCCUCCCUGAUUUCUAUGCUUCUUGGAAGAAAUGUGAAAGCAGUAUAUUUUUUAAAAGGCCUUCUUUAAGUCUUAAGAAUCUUCUUUUAAAAUGAGUGUGGUUGUGAUUCAUGAUUGUUGAGGGCUUUGUUGCAGCACAUGAGCUCUAAUUGUCUAAUUAUGGACCUAAAUGCAAAGGGCCAGGACUUUCAAAAUUUCCUUUCUCUUCUAGGCAUAAAGACCAAUCAGUCACUGAGACUGUUAACUAUAGUUUCUCAUGUGUUCAACAGCAAGGAGUUAAUUUCAAAUAUUGCUGCUGUGUAUCAAUUUUUCCACCUGUAUCUUUCCAUUCUUAUCCCAUAAUAGCUUCAGCUCUGUUGAGCUUCUGACGGCUUCAAAAAAUGCUGGCUCACUGUUUUUAUUAUUGUUUCUCACCUGCUCCCCUCCCUACCCUGCUUUGAUAUUCAGAUUUUCAUACUUAGAAGGAACAUAGCUGAAAUACUUUGCAAGUGCUUUACCAUUCUGGAUAUGCUUAUUUUCAAAUUGGCUCUGUUGCUGCGUGUAGAAAGAAACCUUGAUUAUAACUGCAUUUGGUGUCCUAUAGUGCACUCUCUUCACUUUCCAUGUCCCUCAAGCAUGCACAAGGCUCACCAGCCUACGGUUCAUACUAAUGCACUGUUUAGCUGGAAUUCCUGUCCUUCUCCACCACCACUUUACCUGGGCGGAAAGAGGGAUGGCAAGGAAACAGAAAGAAGUGAGAGAAGAUAGAGAAACACAUAGGUAGUGACCUUUUUUCUUUUGUAGGAACAAUUCACAUUUAUCUUCCUGAUGUCUGAGAGGAGCUCAUGUUUCCCCUCUUCCUCUCCCUCUCCCUCUCUUAAUGGUUAACCUAGUGGAGAUGUGUUAUAUUCCAGGAGCUUGAGUAGUUUUUGUUUUGAAGUGAACAAUUAGGGUUUGGCCACAGGAGCAUCUGGUAAAGCAUCCUAGAACAGGAGAAGGAAAGUAAGGAUAGUUUUCCCCCUUCACUUUAUGUAUUGUGCUUCAAACAUCCUGUGAGAUAGUUAAGUUAGUUUCAUGGGAAGAGGUUAUAUUUUGAUUGGACAGAGUAGUUUCUGUAGGAGCUGGUCUGAUAUCUGGUUUUCCUUAUAGAUCUCAACCUGACACAACUUGAAGCAGAAAAUACUACACUUUCACUUUGUUUAAACACCAAUAACACUAGCAACUUAUACACUGUUGAACUUUCAGGGAAGUUAUUCUGCAAAUUCCAUAAACACAUCUUUAACAUCUUCAGCAGGAACUAUUACAGGUGUGCUCCGCUUGGGAGCUAAGAAGUUUAUUUUCAUUAUUUACACAGAAAUGAAGAGUACAAUAAAUCGUGCCGUCAAGCAUUUUUGGCAAUUUAGUGAUCCUUUGUUAUGUAGGUAGAUUUGAUUUUCACAUUCAUGAUCCUCACUCAUUCACUCUCUCAAGAUUUUUUGAAGCACCUUUGGAGACAAUGUGUCAUAGUCUCUGUGUAUGUGCACAUAUGCUCUAUUGCCAGGGCUCAACGCCACUUACUAACAAUGCGACUGUGAGCAAAUUGUUUAACUGCUCUUUUUCCUCAUCUAUAAAAUGGGUACAAUGAUAAGCAUAUAACCACAUGGGGAAUUUAGGUGUGUGAUAAGUAAAAAUAUCUGAAAAAAGAUAGCAGAGUAUCUGGUACAUAUUAAGUAUUCAAUAUGUGUUACUCAUUAUCACCUUCCCUGUAGCCAGAGCUGAAAUAGUCAGUUGCUAAGGGAUGACUGGCCUCUAAAAAGAAUGCUUAUUUUUAAAAUUCAGCUUUAGAUGUCACGUAUUAUUGGUGCAUAUGGUUUGCACCAUACGCAAAGUAUGGUAUGAAUGUCAUUUGUUCAACUUGGAAUUUUUUAGGAACACAUUUGCUUUAUGUCAUGCGCCACUAUAAUCAUAUAAGGGCAGGGGCUUUGUUUGCUGAUCACUGUGUCCCCAGAGCCACAGUGUCUGUCAUGUAGUAGGUACUUGAGAAGUAUAUAUGAUAGAGAGGGGGAUACGUUGCUCUGCAGGGGCCUUUGCCUAUACAUGUCUUCCUGGCCAAUAGAAUAAAAUGAUCCUCAGAACAGAUAGCUAUGGACGGAGGAGACAAGGGAGGAGGCAUGUUCCUGCUUCAGGGAAAAAAAAAAAAAAAAAAAAAAGGCUGACGGAUGUGUCACAGUCUUAACCUUCUCUUUAGUUCUAAUGCAUUCCCAGGAUGUGUCACAUGUCAUCUCAGUGGGAGUGUCAUUGGAGGGGAAAGUAGGACAUUCUUAAGUUCCAAGAGGGAUAAGUCAGUUGAAAAUGUGUCAUAAUUCACUAAAAGGAGAUGUCCCCUUUAUUUUUUAUGGCCAAAUUAUUCGGUGGAGGAAACAGCGGGGUGGGGGCAGAUCACUAGCUGUUACAGGCUUUUUCAUUACUCUAUAUGGGAGAUCUCAUAACUGACUUUAUCAGGUGAAAUAUUACCUUCAAUGGCAGUUACAAGGCAAAAGUGGAGAACUCUGCCAUGUGCUAGAAAGAGUAAUCUUUUGAUACUGAGCAUCUUCCUUUCACCUUCCACAAGUUGGCUGGAGAGCAGAAGUGGAAAUUUGGCUCCUAGAUAUAAAAAGCUCUCAGCUAAUUAAUUCAAUGCAUCAAGUAUUUAUUAAGUGCCUAGCAUAAUAAUAAUAAUAAUAAUAAUAAUUUGAAGGAGGAGGAAGAAGAUAAACUAUUAAUUAAGCUCUUACUAGUAUUAGGCAUUAAUUAAGCUGUAUUUUGUAUAUGCAUUAUCUUAGUCACCAUACAAACCAAUAGAAUAGUCAUGGUUAUUUUACAGAUGGAGGAAUUGAGGCCAAGAUAAAUUAAAUUACAGGCAAGCAAUGGUAAAAUAGCAGGUAGAUCUGACCAGCUGUCUGAUACAAAUGUUGAAUAUCCACAGUCCAAAGAGUGUUUGGGGCUGUCAGGAAAUGAUGUAAUCAAAUGGGGCUAAUUAAUAGUAACACCAUAUAGCUGUCAAUGACAGGAACUAGUCGAUUCUCACAGAAACUUUGGAGAGUAGAUAGGUGGGAGAGAUUGAGUUAGGACUAUGGUAUCAUUAAUGUUCAAAUAAAAUGAAGGGAGGCUCCUAAAAAGCCUUCAGAGAUCUAGAGGCCCCUAGCAGAGGAGGUGAUGUAUGAAGAGGGUCUUAAAGAACAAAAGUUAAGUAGCCUAUUUAGUUACAAAAGGGACAACAGGAAUCAGCCAGGAGCAACAACCGUAUAGAAGCUCUAAAGCAAGAAGCUUGCACGACUCUGAGAACUUCAAGUAAUGCUGCAGGGCUGGCUGACACUUAGAAAACUGGGCUAGGAAAGGAGGAGAGGAAGAAAAGGGGCUAGAAAUAUCAUUACUGGGUAUAUAUCCAAAAGAAAAUAAGUUAUUCUACCAAAAAGACAUAUGAACCGGUAUGUUUAUCACAGCAGUAUUCACAAUUGCAAAGACAGGGAAUCAACCUAGGUGCCCAUCAAGAGGGUAUUUGGUAAAGAAAAUGUGGUGCAUAUACACCAUGGAUUACUACACAGCCAGGAAAAUGAAUGAAAUUAUGGUUUUUGCAGCAGCAUUGAUACAGCUUGAUGCCAUUAUCCUAGGUGAAUUAAUGCAGGAACAGUGAACCAAAUACCGUAUGUUCUCACCCAUAAUUGGGAGCUAAACAUUGGGUACACAUGGACAUAAAGAUGACAACGGUAGACACUGGGCACUAUUAGAGGGAGAGGGAGAGAAUGGGGCAAGAGUUGAAAAACUAUCUACUGGGCACUAUGCUUACUACCUGAGUGACAGGGUCAAUCAUACCCUAGACCUCAGCAUCACAAAAUAUACCCAUGUAACAAACCUUUACAUGUGCCCCCUGAAUUAAAAAUUAAAAGUUGAAAAAAAAAAUACAUGACCUCUUAGAGCUGGACAUGGUGGCAUGAGCCUGUAGUCUCAGCUACUCAAGAGACUGACAUGGGAGGUUCACUUGAGUCCAGAAGUUCAGUAAACUCCUAUAUAUAUAUAGGAGUUUAUUAAGGAGUAUUGACUCACAUGAUCACAAGAUGAAGUCCCUCAAUAGGCCUUCUGUAAGGUGAGGAGCAAGGAAGCCAGUCUGAGUCCCAAAACCUCAAAAGCAGGGAAGCCAAUAGUGCAACCUUCAUUCUGUGGCUGAAGACCUGAGAGCCCCUGGAAAACCAGUGGUAUCGGUCCAAGAGUCCAAAAGCUGAAGAAUUUGGAGUUUGAUGUUUGAGGGCAGGAAGCAUCCAGGAUGGGAGAAAGAUGGAGGCAAGAAGACUCAGCCAGUCUAAUUUUUUCAUGUUCCUCUGCCUGCUUUUAUCCUGGCUGUGCUGGCAGCUAAUUAGAUGGUACCCAUCCAGACUGAGGGUGAGUCUGCCUUUCCCAUUCUACUGACUCAAAAUUUAAUCUUUUUUGGCAACACCCUCACAGACAUACCCAGGAACAAUAUUUUACAUCCUUCAAUCCAAUCAAGUUGACACUCAAUAUUAACCAUCACAAGAAAUUUACUCCAUUAGUCUAUUGUUUUCAUACUGCUAUGAAGAAAUACCCAAGACUGGGUAAUUUAUAAAGAAAAAGAGGUUUAAUGGACUCACAGUUACACAUGGCUGGGAGGCUUCACAAUCAUGGCAGAAGGCAAAGGAGGAACAAAGGCACAUCUUACAUGGCAUCAGGCAAGAGAGUGUGUGCAGGGGAACUGCCCUUUAUAAAACCAUCACAUCUCAUGAGACUUAUUCUGUAUCAUGAGAAUGGCACAGGAAAAACUCAGCCCCAUGAUUCAAUUACCUCCCACCUAGUCCCUCCCACAACACAUGAGGAUUAUGGGAGCUAUCAUUCAAGAUGAUAUUUGGGUGGGAACACAGCCAAAUCAUAUCACCUGUGAAUCGCCACUGCACUCCAGCCUGGACAACAAAGCAACACCCGGACUCUAAAAAAAAAAAAAAAAAAAAAAAAAAAAGUGCAUAUAAAAAGAAACCCGAAAAGGGGUUGGAAAGCAAAGAAAGGCCCAGAUGGGACUGGUAGCCUACUCGACCUACUCUAAGGUUGACUCAGCCUAAUCAACUUUGGGAAGUUUGACUUAGUCUUCAAGAGAAUAGAGAGACACUGAAGGAUUUAAGAAGGGCUUGACAGAAUCAGGCCUGCAUUUACAUAGCUCAUUCAUCAAGCAAGGUAGAAAAUGAAUUAGUUGAUUUGGGUCAUGGUUAAAGAGAACAGGACUGUAGGUGGGAAAAUCAGUUGGGAGGUGUUGAGUGAGAGAUAAGAAGCUCCUGAGCUGAGGCACAAACAAUGUGAAUAGAUUGUGAUGCUGGCUGUAAGCAAGGUAGGUAAGGCUACCUUGGAAGGACGCAUCACAUUACACAAGCCCCGCCCAUCUGCUUUCCUGUGCCCAUCAAGCCACACCCACCCCACAUACACACAAUUGAAAAUCACUGCUGCAAUGCACAGGUUUAUUUCUUUGUUUUUACUUUUUUUUUUUUUUAAUUUUUCUUUUUCUGUGAAAGUGUUGGGAUCAGAGAUUCUGCCAGACUUUUAAAAACGAUCGGGUGUAGGAAUGAGAGAAAGUGUGGUUAGAGUGGCUAGUACCUUACCAUGAAAGGAGUGUCAGUAGAAGAAGUGAUUUUGAGAGGGUAGAGGAGCCCCGCAAUAGCUCUAUAACAGUUCUAUGAAGUACCCAGCUCUAUAAAAUACACUGGAGGAGAUAGUUCCCCUCAUUGCAGGAGUCUUCAUACAGGAUCUGAGGCUCUGUCUGGGUCUGAGGGAAGAAAUAAGAUUUGUCUAGGGAUUUGGCUGAUAGGGCAAAGGGAACCUAGAGAAGAGAGGAGCCUGAACAGAGAGUCCUAUGGCUGGGAACAAGUCGUGUGUGACUAACGCCUUUCCAUGUGCCAUAAAAUACAAGGCCCCUUCUCCGAUUACAGAGGCUAGGUUAUCUAGACUCUCAUACUGAUGAAAAGAUGUUUUGAAACUUGCCUAAUAACUCAGUGAAGGGACAGAUCCAUUUUCCAAGCUCCCAGUGGAAUAUUGAAUACCAACUUGAGGCCUUUGAAGAAUAAUGAAUCAUAACAAUUGACGUGUUUGAGUAGUACAGGAUCAGGCUGUGUGCAGCGAGAUUUUAAAAAAUGACCUAUGUGCAGUCACCACUAAAUAGAGUUUCUUGAAGCGUAAACUGAGUCUAUGAUCUGCUUGUGCCAGAGCUGUAAUUCUCCAAGAGGCAGCUUCCUAAGACUUGAUCAAUGGAGGACACCUGUCCCUCCAAAUAACUGGUGGUACUAGGUAUAAUAUAGGAGUGAUCUUCACCCAGAGAUCUUUGUUAGUUGUUGAUUAAUUAAGUUACACUCUCUCUCUCACACACACACACACAAAACACCCAAAUACACACACACACACACACACAGAGCUUAGAUUGAUAGUGCUAAGCAUUGGUCAGAAAAGUUUGCAGAUUAAUUGACAAAACCCUUGGCCACAGUGGUUCUCACUCACCACUGCUAUCCAUAAAAUGGAUUAGCAUAGUAUAUUUACCCUUAUGUCCUUACCCAAAUCAAGAAUAGACCAUAACAGUUUAUUCUGAAACUUACUGAUAUUCCUGACAUAUUAGCCCUUUAAUAACUUAUGUCUUGUGCUCUCACAGCAUGCAUUAUUUUCAAUGCUUUUUCUUAUGCAUUGUCUCAUUGGAAUCUUACAAAAUUCUUGAUUAUUCUAUAUUUUAGAUCCAAGAGUUGAGAUGCAUAGUGAUUCAGUUGCUUCAAAUCGUACACCAAGAUGGUAGCAGAAUAAGUGCCCUAUUGCUUUUAUGCUAGUUAUGCUAGUUAUCUUGCUAGUUGCCUAGAAGCCCAAGAUAAAAAGACACAUGGCUCUUUAAGAAUAUAUCUCCGAGUUGGCCGGGCACGGUGGCUCAAGCCUGUAAUCCCAGCACUUUGGGAGGCCGAGACGAGCGGAUCACAAGGUCAGGAGAUCGAGACCAUCCUGGCUAACAUGGUGAAACCCCGUCUCUACUAAAAAAUACAAAAAACUAGCCGGGCGAGGUGGCGGGUGCCUGUAGUCCCAGCUACUCGGGAGGCUGAGGCAGGCAGGAAAAUGGCGUAAACCCGGGAGGCGGAGCUUGCAGUGAGCUGAGAUCCGGCCACUGCACUCCAGCCUGGGUGACAGAACGAGACUCCGUCUCAAAAAAAAAAAAAAAAAAGAAAAAAGAAAAAAAGAAUAUAUCUCCGAGUUGUGAAAGUCUCUGAGUUCAGUUCUCCCAUCAAUCUCAUUUAUGAGUUUUCAAUAGGACUUUGUACCCAGCGAACUGUGGGAUUUAUGAGUUCUAAUCUUAAAGGAACAAAAAAGAAUUUAUGUAUUAUUAAUUCUUACCUUGAAAUAUACAUAGGCAUUAUGCAGUUUAUCCACAAUAUGUCACUAUUAAAGGUGAUUUGUUUAUUACAAGAAAUGUUUAAAAUUGUUUUCCAGUUUAGAAAUCACCUGUGCGAAAGGUUGCUUUCAUAUUUAUGUAUUUGCCAAGAGUCAAUUAUAGUUUUUUAUUCUUGGUUUGAAGAUAAUCCCCAUGUUAAUAAACAACUCUAAUAUAAGCUCUUGUGCACAGGUUUAUGAUAAAUUCCCUUGGGCCACAGUCAUUUUAUGGGAUAAAAACUUGAAUCACCAGUUAGGCUAGUUGAUUUGUUUGAAAUUGCCUUGGAAAGAAUCCUCAUGUUGGAUAGACCACACUCAUUGCCUGGUCAUCCUGGAAACAGUAACAUUGUGAUUAGGUUUGUGGGAACAGGUAAGUGAGAGGUCUCAAAGGUGUUCUUUUUACUUUUUAAUUUUCUGACAUGAAGUUGAUCUGCAGGACCUGUGUGGACCAAAGGAAAAGAGACCAUGUUACUCUGGAAAAAGAAACAAUGAGGCAGCAAAGAAUGCCACCUAUCAAAUUCAUUUUUGGGUGGAAGAAAACAAGCCAGAAUGACUGCUAGUUAACAGUAGUUUUAAGCUGUACAUGGUGGUGGGCACUUUUAGGCCCAGCUACUUGGGAGGUUGAGACAGAGGGAUUGCUUGAGCCCAGGAGUUUAAGUCUAGCCUGGGUAACACAGUGAAACCUCAUUUUGUUUGUUUGUUUAUUUGUUUUUAAAUAGCUUAUAAGAAGGAAGAUAUAGUCAGCCUCUGUUUCUUGCUCUUUAAUACAUAAAAUUUCAUUGCAUUAAGUGAUAGAUAUACCUUUAUCUUUCAUUAGCAUCUGCAUUUGGGCUUUCAACUUGUUAAUCUUGGUCAUGAGAGAGUCAGUCAUUAAGUAAAGGUUAACAUUUCUAAGCAUUAUAAUUGCAGCUUUGCCAUGAAAUGAACCGUAAGGAAAAGUGAAUCGAACAUAGUUGAGUCUGGGAAAGGGGUAUUUGCAUUAGGGUGUUGGGUCUGGUCUCUGCAUUUGUUAAACUAUUUCUGUUUCUUGUUUUAGUUUUAGAGAAACUUGAAAUUUUCAGAUGGAUAAGGAAGGACUUCACUAAUUUCUGACUCCAGACUCCAGACAUAUCUUCAAUAAAGCAAUGCAGGAGAGCUAUCUAAUCCAUUCUAAAAUUACAUAUAUUCCCUCAAGUAAGAGAAUAAAAAUAAUGUCACUCA